AUUGAACGCUGGCGGCAGGCCUAACACAUGCAAGUCGAAUGGUAACUGGAAACAGCUUGCUGUUUCUCUGACGAGUGGCGGACGGGUGAGUAAUGUCUGGGAAACUGCCUGAUGGAGGGGGAUAACUACUGGAAACGGUAGCUAAUACCGCAUAACGUCGCAAGACCAAAGAGGGGGACCUUCGGGCCUCUUGCCAUCAGAUGUGCCCAGAUGGGUUUAGCUAGUAGGUGGGGUAACGGCUCACCUAGGCGACGAUCCCUAGCUGGUCUGAGAGGAUGACCAGCCACACUGGAACUGAGACACGGUCCAGACUCCUACGGGAGGCAGCAGUGGGGAAUAUUGCACAAUGGGCGCAAGCCUGAUGCAGCCAUGCCGCGUGUAUGAAGAAGGCCUUCGGGUUGUAAAGUACUUUCAGCGGGGAGGAAGGGAGUAAAGUUAAUACCUUUGCUCAUUGACGUUACCCGCAGAAGAAGCACCGGCUAACUCCGUG
rnacentral:rRNA from 1 species